rnacentral:pre_miRNA from 1 species
CACAUACUUCUUUCGUCAAACAAAAGAUGUCUCAAGUUUGUUAAAAUUUUGAUAUAUAUAAACAUGACUUAGUAUAUAAAUGCAUUCAAAUUUGAUCAAAAUUGAGACAUCUUUUGUUAGAUGCAGGGAGUAGUAU